rnacentral:rRNA from 1 species
UACGGGGGGGGUAAGCGUUGUUCGGAAUUACUGGGCGUAAAGGGCUCGUAGGUGGCCAACUAAGUCAGACGUGAAAUCCCUCGGCUUAACCGGGGAACUGCGUCUGAUACUGGAUGGCUGGAGUUUGGGAGAGGGAUGCGGAAUUCCAGGUGUAGCGGUGAAAUGCGUAGAUAUCUGGAGGAACACCGAUGGCGAAGGCGGCAUCCUGGACCAACACUGACGCUGAGGAGCGAAAGCCAGGGGAGCAAACGGG